rnacentral:sRNA from 1 species
UUGUACAGCUGGGUCCGAAGGUGUUGCAACCCCCGCUACCGUCCAGCGGGUCAACACACCUUUCCCCCUCU